UCGGAACUCGCCUUGCCGCGGUUACCAAGACAUAUUGUCGAAUCAUACUUAGCCUAGUAAAGUGUACCAGUUCGUUGUUAAAGUUUCUGUGAUAAUUGAAGCAUUGGUCGCACUGAAAUAUACUAAUAUAUAGAAGGUUUGACAGUCCUAGUCGCCUGCAUCAACAAUUACCCAUAGUUAAGAGUGACGUUAGCUCAUCUAUGAACCAAACUCUGAAGAAUUCUGUGUAAUCAUGGCCCAAGAAAGAGAAACUGAUAUCAAGUACCCAGAUUGGAUAUAAUGGAAGAGUUGGAUCUGUAAAAAGGAGAGACAGUAUGCUACAGACAGCAAUAAUACCAACAGUGUCGUCUGGCAAUCAUGAGUGUGUUCAGUGCUCUAAGCCAGCCCUACAGUGUGCUUCCCAUUUUCCAGCACAUUUAAUAUUGAAGCGGCCUGAGUCUAUACUGGAGUCUGAAUUCAGUUGGGAUAUUUGCUGCUGCAGAUAACCAGGGAAGAUUGCCAACCCUUGUCCUUGAAAACGCAAGCUCCAAU